UGAUGGCGACCGGCGCACGGGUGAGUAACACGUAUCCAACCUGCCGAUGACUCGGGGAUAGCCUUUCGAAAGAAAGAUUAAUACCCGAUGGCAUAGUUCUUCCGCAUGGUGGAACUAUUAAAGAAUUUCGGUCAUCGAUGGGGAUGCGUUCCAUUAGGUUGUUGGCGGGGUAACGGCCCACCAAGCCUUCGAUGGAUAGGGGUUCUGAGAGGAAGGUCCCCCACAUUGGAACUGAGACACGGUCCAA
rnacentral:rRNA from 1 species